AUGCGAACAGCACCAGGGGCGGCAUCCUCCUCUGUUGGAGGUCCUAUCGGUUCACUGCUAGCUCAAUUGUGGCUAGGGAGUUUUCCAUCACGGCACGCUUCAUGCUGGUGGACGGGGGGGGGGCACUGGUCCUUAACCACGGUUUAUGGCCCGCACGAUGAGCCGCGCAAGCCCGCCUUCCUCUCUAAACUUGCGCUCAUACACAACUCAAUGUUGGGUCCAUGGAUGAUUAUUGGGGACUUCAACCUCAUAAAAGACCCGCAGGACAAGAACAACGAUCGGAUUUGUAGGCGCUGGAUGAAUCGGUUCCGUCAUACGCUCAAUCGAUCCAGCCUGCACGAAAUUCCGCUAAUUGGACGCAAAUACACAUGGAGUAAUGAGCAGCAUGUGCCGACGCUAGUUCGCCUGGAGAGAGCUUUUUGUAAUGUAGACUGGGAACUUCUUUUCCCAGCUGCAAAAUUGCUGCCGCGAGCCUCAACUAUUUCGGACCAUUGCCAAAGAAAAAAAUAUCUAUCAGAGUAG
rnacentral:rRNA from 1 species